GACGAACGCUGGCGGCGUGCCUAAUACAUGCAAGUCGAGCGAGCUUGCCUAGAUGAAUUUGGUGCUUGCACCAAAUGAAACUAGAUACAAGCGAGCGGCGGACGGGUGAGUAACACGUGGGUAACCUGCCCAAGAGACUGGGAUAACACCUGGAAACAGAUGCUAAUACCGGAUAACAACACUAGACGCAUGUCUAGAGUUUAAAAGAUGGUUCUGCUAUCACUCUUGGAUGGACCUGCGGUGCAUUAGCUAGUUGGUAAGGUAACGGCUUACCAAGGCAAUGAUGCAUAGCCGAGUUGAGAGACUGAUCGGCCACAUUGGGGCUGAGACACGGCCCAAACUCCUACGGGAGGCAGCAGUAGGGAAUCUUCCACAAUGGACGCAAGUCUGAUGGAGCAACGCCGCGUGAGUGAAGAAGGGUUUCGGCUCGUAAAGCUCUGUUGGUAGUGAAGAAAGAUAGAGGUAGUAACUGGCCUUUAUUUGACGGUAAUUACUUAGAAAGUCACGGCUAACUACGUGCCAGCAGCCGCGGUAAUACGUAGGUGGCAAGCGUUGUCCGGAUUUAUUGGGCGUAAAGCGAGUGCAGGCGGUUCAAUAAGUCUGAUGUGAAAGCCUUCGGCUCAACCGGAGAAUUGCAUCAGAAACUGUUGAACUUGAGUGCAGAAGAGGAGAGUGGAACUCCAUGUGUAGCGGUGGAAUGCGUAGAUAUAUGGAAGAACACCAGUGGCGAAGGCGGCUCUCUGGUCUGCAACUGACGCUGAGGCUCGAAAGCAUGGGUAGCGAACAGG
rnacentral:rRNA from 1 species